rnacentral:tRNA from 1 species
GGCCCCGUAGCUCAGCGGAUAGAGCGACGGACUUCGAAUCCGUGCGCGGAGGUUCGACUCCUCCCGGGGCCACCU